GUGCUCACUUCAGCAGCACAUAUACUAAUAUUGGAAUGAUACAGAGAAGAUUAGCAUGGCCCCUGCCCAAAGAUGACACAAGUUUGUGAAGUGUUCCAUAUUUUU